AUGCCUACAGCUUUGAUAACUGUCAGGAGAAUUCAGAGGACUCCUUCAGCCUGAAAAUGAAGAUGGAGGCCUCACUUGAAUGAAUCCUAUAAUUUCCACCUCCUGUCCUUGCCAAGAAUGAAGUCACUCAGCAGCAGACUCCCAGCUCCUUAUGCUUUGUGCAGCAAAGGCUGUUCCUUAGCAACCAAUGUCCACAAAUAGGUUUCCAAGGAAACCAGGAAGCUCAAUUUAUAAAACUAUGAAACAAAGCAGCUGUAAAGGCUACAUUAGACACAGCAGCCAGACUGGUCAAGAUACUGCUGGUAGGAUCAAGCCUUGGGUUGCGCCACUAAAGCUCUUUCAGAAGAUCUCCUGAAGAAACAUGAGGAAAAUAUUCAAUUUGCAUGGCGCAUGGAGGCAAGCAGACAGACAACAUCUAACAGCAUGAAUAUGGGCUUUGUGUCAACCAUGCCCAUUAAUCUCAGGAUCAGCGUUCCAAAGAUGUUUGGUUUUACGCAAGUACACAAAUGGUUAUGAUACAAAGCAGAAGUAAUUAUGCACUGAAAUAAAAGGACCUUGUUUUUCCCCUCAACAAGAGACUCAGAAAGGUCUUAGUGACCAUGCUACUAUUGACCUGAAAACCUAAGUUUUCUGCCAUUUAUGGAACAAGACUAGACUUAUUGAAUCAUACAUGCAUUGGAAAAAUGUGGAAUUUAUUUUUCUAAGAGGAUUUCAGACAGAGGAAAGUUCUGAGUUACUUUUAACCUCCAAUAACUGAUUACUAAUGUUCUCAAUUUACAAGGGUAAUAAAACUGAUAAACUCAUUGGCAAACUGAAAAUACUGUAAGCUGGAAAUGCAAUUUAAUCCACUGAAACCACAAAAAAUCCUAGCCUAGCAACACAGUCUACUAUAGAGUCUGGGUGUUUCCCUUGUGGUCAUAUGGCUGACCAAGACCUGUGGUCACUGCCACUGCCCAGCAUCCCCAAAAAGGAUCAGACUGCAUAUCACUAGCCUAGAAGAUACAAAUUCAAAGUUCAAAGGGCAGUUUCUCUGAAUAAAGAGCACUUAUACACCAUUGUAAAGUCAAAAAAUCAUGUCACACCUUGGUAAGUUCAGGAGCAUGUGUACACUGAACAACUCAAGAAGAGCUAUUUGACAUUCUGUUUGCUUCUCAGCCUGUCUUUAGAACACUAUUACUUCAUCCCUAAGUCAGUUCACAGACAGGAGACAGUCUCCAGAUGAGUCACUGCAGAGGAAAGUACACAGGGUGAUUGCCUUCAGAAGAUCUUACAUUGGCCAAUAAUAUAACAAAGUUAGAGAGAGGAUAGCUUAACACAUUUCCCACAUAAAUGUGCAUAGUGUCAUAUGAAGUUACCAGCAAGAAACCAAAUCAUAUACAGAGUAAAAUCUGAAUUGUUACUAAGGAAAAGGAAAAGAAAAUAGACCAAUAUAUGAACA